ensembl:misc_RNA Metazoa_SRP Metazoan signal recognition particle RNA
GCCAGGUGUGGUGGUGCACACCUGUAGUCCCAGCUACUCAGGAGGCUGAGGCGGGAGGAUUGCUUGAACCCAGGAGGUCGACGCUGCAGUAAGCCAUGAUCGUGCCACUGUACUCCAGCCUGGGCAACAGAGCAAGACCCUGUCUUAU